UACGUAGGGUGCGAGCGUUAUUCGGAAUUACUGGGCGUAAAGCGUGCGCAGGCGGCUUUGCAAGACAGAUGUGAAAUCCCCGGGCUCAACCUGGGAACUGCAGUUGUGACUGCAAGGCUAGAGUACGGCAGAGGGGGAUGGAAUUCCGCGUGUAGCAGUGAAAUGCGUAGAUAUGCGGAGGAACACCAAUGGCGAAGGCAAUCCCCUGGGCCUGUACUGACGCUCAUGCACGAAAGCGUGGGGAGCAAACAGG
rnacentral:rRNA from 1 species